AUUAAAAAAUAAAAAACUUCUAACUAUAACAAGUCACAACUCAGAACCUCCCAAUCCCAUCAAACCCUUUGCACCUUCAACCCCCUAAAUCUCAUCGAACCUUCCCACCGGUAAAAUCUAGUAACCUUUGUAUCAGAUCCGAAUCUCUCUUCCCUCUAUUCUCUGAUUCUGAUUCGGAUCCCCAAUUUCGGCGACUUAUUCAUCGCAUCCUUCUCUCGCAAUUCAAUCUGAUUAAACUUUCCCGGCAAACACACGCAAUCAUCGAUCAUAAAUCCUCUCUACAGGAAUGCGUUUAAGGUAAUCAAUUGAAUCCUUCAAAUCUAAUCAACUUCACACUGUUCUUGUAAUGCGUGUGUAGAUACUUUUAAUGCAUGUAUUGAUUUUGUUAUUUUUAAGCUGAAAUUGGUGAUGUGUGUUGAUAAUUUUUAUUUGAUUAUGGUUUUAAUGUUGUUAGUUAGGCUAUGUAUUUCGAAUAGUAUUUGAAUCAGACAUUGAAAUUGAGUGAAAUGUUGUUGUAAUUUACGUAUACAUAAUGCUGCAAUUCAAUACUAGUAUGCGGCAUUCAAUUUAAAUUUAAAGCGAAAUAUUGUCCAUCUUCAGUUAUGAGUUAUGUCCCAGACACUAACUCGUUGACACCGGUAAUGAUUUGAGAAAGUGAAUUAUUUGAACGUAAUCACAUGUGUCGGUGUCAAACAUCGACACUCUUGAUCAAAGGUGUCGGUGCUUCAGAGAUCUUCAGAGGUUCCAUUGGGGACAAUUCAUAAACAACACGUAUUUUGGAUAUGAAAAUAAAAACCAAAGGAUUUUUUUUGCUGUUCUGUAUUGAUUUGGUAAGCACAUGUUAAGUUGGGGUUUCUGAUUGUGAUCUUUUGUACUUUGAUUUAUUUAAUUUUCUCCUACUGAUUGUGAUUCCAAUUGUGAUUUUUCUAUAAUCUGAUUAUGAUUGCUAUUCUCUAUUGAUUUUUAUUUUAUUUAAAAGGAUUGAGGAAUAUCAAUAUCUAGCAUAAUGCCUUAGACAUAAUCAUCUGCUAUUUUUUGUGGUCAAAAUAUAUAACGGUUGAUCUAAUGAUUGAUGGAAAGAUUAGGAAUCUAAUCCAUAUAUAAAGUUUUGUGAUGUUUUAUAGCAAGCUAUUUGCUAUAUGUGGGAAAAUUCUUAGAAUUCGAGGACUAAGAAACCUCCUGAAGAAUAAUUGAAGAAAAGAAAAGUGAAUCAAAUUUAUUUCAUAAUCUUUCCAUAAAAUUACAGUGUGCUUAUAUAGAGGAUAAAUGUUAAAGUAAAAUAACAAGCUUAGUACAGUGUGCUUAUAUAGGAAUUAUUUUUUGUAAUAGAAAUAUAUUCUAAUAACUAAAUACGUGUUGUGAUGCUUCUAGAUCUUGGUAUAUUCUAGCAGAAUACUUUUAUUUGUAUACCACAUAGUCCUUGAGUUUGAUGGGCGGAUUAGUGGACCUUUUGGGCUUAUUAGCAGCUAGCUCCUCCUUAGUAGGUGAAUUGGGCUCAUCUGUUAUCACAGUGUCAGGCUGGUUCAUAACACUAUUUUUUGUCAAGCCAUGAUCCUUCCCAUUGUGUUAUUUUAUUUUUUCAAUUUGAAGUGGUCCAAGAUGAAACACAUGUCCAAUCCAUGCCAAUUUAAACAUUCCUUUUGACCAAAUAGUGUGGGUGUUAUUAUUCGACCUUUCAAGUAUAAGAAGGGAAGAAGGUCCAAUUAAUAACGUAGAUAGAGGGGAGAAAAGUAUAGGAAGUUCAUAUAACCAAUAGUGCUAACUUCACCACUCUACCAAUCCGGACAUUUGUUGUUGCUUCAGUGAGUACUCUUCAACCAAGCUGCUGCUAAAGUGAGAAGAUUGAAACUUCUGGCUGAUUCAAUGGCCUUGAUGAGAUGAGAGUAGAUUUCAAGGACAGUCGAGUGGUUUAAUCUCUUUGAGAAGAUGAAUUGUUAAUGAUGAUAUCAAUGAAGAAUUUCAAUAUUUUGAAGUACAAGAGAUGAAGACAUAUGUUGAUGUUUAAGUGUUGUUUAGGGUGAAAAUGAUAAUUGACAUUUUGACUUGAGAGUAUACAUUAAAUAUUCGAGUACUUUAUCGUGAAGAAUGUUAUUUUUGAUACCUAUAUGAAUGAUAUAUUAUUGACAAGUAUUUGGUAUGUAAUUCUGAAUUUACGAUUA